AAGCCCCGGCACCGGGUUAGGGUACUCCUCCGAACUUGCAUUUCGAUGUGCUCUGCACCGCAGGA
rnacentral:tRNA from 1 species